GAUGAACGCUGGCGGCGUGCCUAAUACAUGCAAGUCGAGCGCAGCGGGGGCGGGGGAGUACGGCGUGGAAAACCUCCUAUACCACUGGGUCAACUUCGGGAAACCGGUGCUAAACCGGCUACUCAUAGGUGGAUCCGCGCUGCAUUCGCUAGUUGGUAAGGUAACGGCUUACCAAGGCAACGAUGCAUAGCCGACCUGAGAGGGUGAUCGGCCACACUGGAACUGAGACACGGUCCAGACUCCUACGGGAGGCAGCAGUAGGGAAUCGUCCGCAAUGGGCGAAAGUCUGACGGAGCAACGCCGCGUGAGUGAUGAAGGUCUUCGGAUCGUAAAACUCUGUUAUUAGGGAAGCGGUACCUAAUCAGAAAGCCACGGCUAACUACGUGCCAGCAGCCGCGGUAAUUC
rnacentral:rRNA from 1 species